rnacentral:rRNA from 1 species
UACGUAGGGGGCAAGCGUUGUCCGGAAUCACUGGGCUUAAAGGGCGCGUAGGUGGUUUGCCAAGUCGGGGUUGAAAUCUUUCGGCUCAACCGGAAAAGUGGCUUCGAUACUGGCAAGCUGGAGGGAGGUAGGGGCGGAUGGAACUUCCGGUGGAGCGGUGAAAUGUGUUGAUAUCGGAAGGAACGCCGGUGGCGAAAGCGGCGUCCUGGACCAACACUGACACUGAGGAGCGAAAGCCAGGGGAGCAAACGGG